ACUCUCAGCUGCUCUGUAAUGCAAGUCGACAGGAAAAUCUACAAGGGCUUCACGGUCUUCUUUCUAGAAAAAUCCCAACAAGGGUUUGAUAGUAAAAAGUACUUCGUAGUCAUUUUCAAAUAGGGGAGAAUUUCCUGAAGUAUGCAGCAUCUGCUCUGCCGGGUUUGCAAUCUGUGCACAGGUAUUGCAGUUAAUGAGCCACCGGCUUGCCGCUUCCAGGGCCAGGCUGGAGCAGUCAGCUGGUGGAAUGAUGGGAACUGCAAUCGGCAGCUCUGCACCAACGUGCCCCGGGUUGGAAAAUGUGAUUUGUGACAGAGAAGCUUGGGAAUAAUAAUGAAAACAUAAUUGCUCCAGAAGAGGCAGAGGAUGUUGACACAAACUUACAGACUGGGACUCCAAGGAUCAGCCAGAUGAAAUGCUAUGUGCAGAGUCUUCAUUUCCCAGCUCAGUGGUGGACAGCAGAGGACUCUAAGAAUCACCUCAUAAAUGAACUACCUUGACAUGCCCUGACCCAGGCUCUUUAUUUGGAAACCCAGGCUAGGACAGGAAUGAAGAGAAGCCAGACCUUCUGACUCGAAGAUCCAGCCACCUCUUGGGAUGCACACGUUUCUCUUCAACUGCGUGAUGUGAACUGCGUCACAUGGUCAAAUUAUAAUGAAGAAAGGAACCUCUCUUGAGUACAAAGAGCUACCUAUGGUGGUCUGGAGCCGGAGGACCACAGCAUCAAAGGAUAUAAGAUGCAUAGCCAACUGAGGAACCUGAGCAAUUAAAGAGAUCCACAGUUAAGUCACACUUAACUGGCACUUGUGGAAGCCCCGCAAGGCCUGAAGGAGAGCUGACAUAGGCACCCCAGAGAGCCAGAAUCUGGAUCCCAUCUUAAUAAGGCCAUGAACACCAGUGGAGAAGAGGCAGAAACACCAAUGGAUAAGGAACAUUCACAUCUUUCUUCCCAUGUGCCUCU
rnacentral:lncRNA from 1 species